ensembl:lncRNA
UUAUAACUUAUGAAAUGACAUUUUUAAAAAAACCCUCUGAGUCUUUAGUUUGUGAGUAUUCAAACUACAUUAUCCUUCAUGACUAUACCUAGAAUACUUAGAAAAAUUAUUAUGAUGACUUCAUUUCCUGAAAUAAUUUAAUUUUAAGGAUAUUUGUUUUCAGCCUGUGCUUUAUGAUUAUCUUGUCCUUUCUCAUUUCAGAUUUUGAUUAUAGUUUCCUCAUUACAGAAUGACACUUAAUCACAGUGUGAAUGGUAAUGCUCCUAAUUUUCCAGAAAUAAUGCAUAAGCUUAUGACUUCUGAAAUGAUCUGCUCACACUUGUGCUCCUACAGGGGAAGGACAGCUUUGGUGCAAAUAUCUUUUGCAAGGAAAAUGGAAACAACAAAGAUACAAUGUAUAGCGUCAAUAAAUGAGUCACGUGGCCUCAUGUUGAACAUAACAAUGAUGAAGAAAUGCAAAGCAGCCUCCAAAGGUGGUGGCAGAAGGAUGAGGACCCAGCAAAGCCAUGGAGAGUUAAGUGGACUAAUUAUGCAAUCGGUGCAACAGAGACAAAGGAUCUGCGGCAUGGCUCCACCCCUGCAUCCAAGACAAGGAUCUCCUGCUGAAAGAACCUCUGGACUGGCCUCUGGGGCUCUUUUGGCACCAGACCAUUGUUCUCUGCUUCCCCACUUAUUGUUUCUGUAACACACAGAUUGGUUUAAAGCUUUUAAAUAUCUAUUAAAUUAUCUCUAUACCCCAGUUGAAACAAAUUCUAUGGUUAAUUUCUUACAUACUAUUAAAAAUUUUUUUUUUUGGCCUUACUCCUCUCUCAGAGAUUACUCAUUCAUGCUAAUGCUUUUGGUCAACAAAUGUGUGCUCCAUUUUUCACACUAUUCUUCAUCUUCUAGAUUACAAUUUUGCCCUAUUUUUAGUCUUUGAGGUUAUAGGCCCAUGAGUUCUAAAUGCUAGCAAGGCAUUAAUAUGGACUCCAUUGAUCCACUGCUAAGACGAGUGAAAGAAACCUCUUGUAUUAGAUAAUCUCAGAAAGUCUGAAGAGGGCAACUGUUACUAGUAAUUAGCACCUUUUCAAUACGGCAUAGAAAAUGAGAUGGUGGAUGAGAGAAAUAUUGGGAGAAAGUGGCUGCAUUAGUGUUCUGUUGCAGCAUAAAAAGUUACCACAAACUCAGUGGCUUCAAAUGACACAAAUAUAUCAUCUAACAGUUUCUGUAGGUUGGAAGUUCAGGAAGGGCAGGGCUGGGCUCUCUGGUCCGGGGCUGAUCUGGCUUCAGUGAAGGUGUCAACAGGGGUGUGGUUUUCAAAUGGAGCACUUUCAAGCUCACUGGUUGUUGGAAAAGUUCAUUUUUUUCUCAGUAUCAGACGUGCACUCACCAUUUUUUGCUGGCUUUUACCCAGAGGCCAUUCCAGGCUUCUAGAAGAUGCCAGAGGUCCUUGCCUCUGGCCCCCAUAGGCCUCCACAUGCAUGGAGGUUGACAUUUUUCCAGGCCGGCCUGAGUAUAUCUCUCUGAUCUCUUCUACUCUGGCCAUCCAGAAAAACUCUGCAUUUAAAGGUCUCAUUGCAGGUCAGGCUCUCCCAGGACAGUCUCCUUUUCUUAAGAUCAGUUGAUUUGGCAUCUUAAUUACAUCCAAGAAAUCCCUUCACUUCAGCAUGUGAAUUGGUGUUUAAUUGAAUAAUUGGGAGAAGGUGUGAGUACACCAGUGUCCCUAAAUCUUGGGAAUGUUUUAGGAUUCUGCCCACCAAAAUGGUCUGGGGAGAAAUGAAGAAAACUUUUUUAUGCUGAAUAUCCAGUGCAUGGCGAAUGAGCUGCUUGUGUCUAGUAACUGUAAGUGAUGAAGUCAUGGCCUAGGUGCAGAUGGCCUCUCUGCAGAGAUUCCUGGGUUAAAAGAGCCCCCCUUCAUCAACCUCCCCUACUUCCUUUCCACUGAUGGCAAGUUUUACAAAGAAACCCAUCCUACACUGAACACAGGGGUUCUUUAAGACUUCCGGACUUGAUAUGCAAUCUACAGAUCUGUUAGUUGACUCGCUUUUUAAAAAUUAACUUUAUUAUUGAAGUAUGACAUUCAUAUAAAAAGUGACCUAAUCAUAAGUGUUCAGCUCGACAAAUGAUCACAGAGUCAACACGCCCACAUAACCACACCCAUCUCAAGCAAUAGAAGCAGCCCAAAGGCUCCCUUAAUGUCCCCCCUCGGGCUUUAUAUCCUCCUACUUCUCUUAAAUUAAACAUUACCCUGACUUUUGAUACCAUAGGAUUAGGUUUUCCUCUUUUGUGAACUUUUUUAUAACUGGAAACUUAUAAAUAACCUUUUCGUCAGACGUCUUACAUUCAAUAUUGUGUUUGUGAGUUUCCAUUGGAAGAACAUGCCACAAUUUAUUUGGCCAUUCUAUUGUUGAUGAACCUUUGCACUGUUUCCAGUUUUUGACUUUUACAAAUAAUUCUGUGAACAUCUUUGAACCUGUAUUUUGGUGGGCCGUGCACACCUGCCUGUUGUGCAUAUUCCUAGGAGUGGAAAUGGCAGGUUAUAGAGAAGGCGUGAGUUCUACUAAAACAUUUACUGCCAACGAGUACCUCCACCCUUAACUGUGGUUAAUGUUCCAGUUUGGAGACUGUUUUACCCUCUAUGCAGAGUAAAUUUCCAAUCUGCUACCGGAGUGGGAAGGCUCAGCCAUCCAGCUAGUGGAGUGAGUGAGGAAAGGGGUCUGGGGAUUGAGCAGCCUCUUAUAGUUUCAACUCAUUCUCCCUAUUUUAGCCAGCCCAUCUCUACUCACAACCCCCUUCAAGAGUUACGUGGUGCUGUCAGCUUCAGAACUUUGGUCUUUCAUGGCACAAACUGGAUUGCUUUUCAGCUUUCCUUACCACUAGUUUUGGAUUCACUUUCCACAGGCCUGCUGUCUU